rnacentral:tRNA from 1 species
GGGAGCGUAGUUUAGUGGUAGAAUGCUGGUCUCCAAAACCAGCGGUGAAGGUUCGAUUCCUUCCGCUCCUG